CCUACGGGAGGCAGCAGUGGGGAAUAUUGGGCCAUGGGCGCAAGCCUGACCCAGCAACGCCGCGUGAAGGAAGAAGGCUUUCUGGUUGUAAACUUCUUUUAUUGAGGACGAAACAAAUGACGGUACUCAAUUAAUAAGCCACUGCUAACUACGUGCCAGCAGCCGCGGUAAUCCGUAGGUUGCAAGCGUUAUCCGGAUUUACUGGUUGUAAAGGGCGUGUAGGCGGGACGGCAAGUCAGAUGUUAAACCCAUGGGCUCAACCCAUGGCCUGGAUUUGAAACUGUAGUUCUUGAGUGAUGGAGAGGCAGGCGGAAUUCCGUGUGUAGCGGUGAAAUGCGUAGAUAUACGGAGGAACACCAGUGGCGAAGGCGGCAUGCUGGACAUAAACUGACGCUGAGGCGCGAAAGCGUGGGGAGCAAACAGGAUUAGAUACCCCUUGUAGUC
rnacentral:rRNA from 1 species